AAGGCAGCAGGCGCGCAAAUUACCCAAUCCUGACACAGGGAGGUAGUGACAAGAAAUAACAAUACAUGGCCUAACGGUCUUGUAAUUGGAAUGAGUUAAGUAUAAACCCCUUUACAAGUAGCAAUUGGAGGGCAAGUCUGGUGCCAGCAGCCGCGGUAAUUCCAGCUCCAAUAGCGUAUAUUAAAGUUGUUGCAGUUAAAAAGCUCGUAGUUGGAUUUCUGUUAAUACUUAUAUACAAUACCACGGUAUUUAUAUAACAUUAACAUAAUUCACAUUACUUAUUUAAAGUAUGUGAAACUUUACUUUGAGAAAAUUAGAGUGCUUAAAGCAGGCUAUUGCCUUGAAUACUCCAGCAUGGAAUAAUAUUAAAGAUUUUUAUCUUUCUUAUUGGUUCUAGGAUAAAAAAAAUGAUUAAU
rnacentral:rRNA from 1 species